rnacentral:rRNA from 1 species
GUCUACAGCCACAUUACCCUGAACAAGCCCAAUCCCAUCUGAUCUCGGAAGAUCCCAGGGUCUGAUCUCAGGUUAGUACUUGUCGGGGAGACCACCUAAGAAGACCGGGUGCUGUAGGUU